UCUCAGUUCGGAUCGCAGGCUGCAACCCGCCUGCGUGAAGUCGGAAUUGCUAGUAAUCGCGGAUCAGCAUGCCGCGGUGAAUACGUUCCCGGGCCUUGUACACACCGCCCGUCACACCAUGGGAGCCGGUAAUACCCGAAGUCAGUAGUCUAACCUUUUAGGAGGACGCUGCCGAAGGUAGGAUUGGCGACUGGGGUGAAGUCGUAACAAGGUAUC
rnacentral:rRNA from 1 species